GGUGACAGGACAGGAGACCACAAAUUCCCUCAUCGUUAUUGUGAUCAUGUUAACUGUUGACUGUUAAUUAUCCUGUACUCACAUAAGUA